rnacentral:rRNA from 1 species
UGCGCAGGCGGCCAAGUGUGUUAGGCGUGAAAGCCUGGGGCUUAACCCCAGAAUUGCACCUAAAACUACAUGGCUAGAGCAUUGGAGAGGGUAGCGGAAUUCACGGUGUAGCAGUGAAAUGCGUAGAUAUCGUGAGGAACACCAGAGGCGAAGGCGGCUACCUGGACAAUUGCUGACGCUCAGGCACGAAAGGCGUGGGGAGCAAAAG